AUUGAACGCUGGCGGCAUGCCUUACACAUGCAAGUCGAACGGCAGCAUGGAGAGCUUGCUCUCUGAUGGCGAGUGGCGAACGGGUGGGUAAUGCAUCGGAACGUACCGUGUAAUGGGGGAUAACGUAGCGAAAGUUACGCUAAUACCGCAUACGACCUGAGGGUGAAAGCAGGGGAUCGCAAGACCUUGCGUUAUACGAGCGGCCGAUGUCAGAUUAGAUAGUUGGUGAGGUAAAGGCUCACCAAGGCGACGAUCUGUAGCGGGUCUGAGAGGAUGAUCCGCAACACUGGGACGGAGAGACGGCCCAGACUCCUACGGGAGGCAGCAGUGGGGAAUUUUGGACAAUGGGGGCAACCCUGAUCCAGCCAUGCCGCGUGAGUGAAGAAGGCCUUCGGGUUGUAAAGCUCUUUCGGCCGGGAAGAAAUCGCACAGGCUAAUAUUCUGUGUGGAUGACGGUACCGGCAUAAGAGGCACCGGCUAACUACGUGCCAGCAGCCGCCGUAA
rnacentral:rRNA from 1 species